rnacentral:rRNA from 1 species
UACGUAGGUGGCAAGCGUUGUCCGGAAUUAUUGGGCGUAAAGAGCUCGUAGGCGGCUUGUCGCGUCGGAUGUGAAAGCCCGGGGCUUAACUCCGGGUCUGCAUUCGAUACGGGCAGGCUAGAGUUCGGUAGGGGAGAUCGGAAUUCCUGGUGUAGCGGUGAAAUGCGCAGAUAUCUGGAGGAACACCGGUGGCGAAGGCGGCAUUCUGGACUGCAACUGACACUGAGGAACGAAAGCCAGGGGAGCAAACGGG